CAGCCUCAGGGCAGAGCUCCUGGAAGCCACUGCCGCCAUGGACUGGGCUCCCUUCUACCUCCUGCCCCUGGUUUUCUCCACAGGUCUCUGUGCUGAUCCUAUGCUGACCCAGCCUCCGUCUGCUUCUGCCUCCCCGGGAGCCUCGGCCAAGCUCACCUGUACCCUGAGCAGUGAGCACAGCGGCUAUUCCAUUGUAUGGCAACAGCAGCAGCCAGGGAAGGCCCCUCGCUUUUUGAUGUAUGUGAAGAGCGACGGAAGCCAUAAGAGGGGUGUCGGAAUCCCCGACCGCUUCUCGGGCUCCAGCUCUGGGGCGGACCGCUACUUAACCAUCUCCGACCUCCAGCCUGAGGACGAGGCUGACUAUUACUGUCAGACAUGGAGCAGCAAUUAUAAUGCUCACAGUGACACAGGCAGACGGGGAAGCAGUGGUUACGCAGAGAACAGCAAUUCCUCCCCUGGGUCGAGCAGCCCUUGGAUCAGGCAGUUACCACCUGAGCACCAGGUUCAGACUCUACACCUGGAGACAGGACACACCUGCUCCUCCAGCAGCCAGUGA